GUGCUGGCAUCCAGCUGAGGGAGGUGUUGCCCUCUCCAGUGACCAGCCGUGCCCUGGGGAGCCAGGCAGCAAAAUUGGGUAACACAUCUGAGCCACAGGAGGCUUCAGAGGGAACGCGACAUUCACAGCCAGAGACAGCCCAGUGGAGUCACAGCUCCGAGGGAUCUCAUUGUGCCUGCUGCAAUGUUCUUCAUGGCCGGGCAGGACCUCACAGGCAAAGAGAAGAGACAUAAUUUAGCAACUGCUUGAAGAAAGUCCUGGUUGCAUGUAUCAUGUGACAAGUCAAGCUGAAUGCCAGGGGAGACACUCCAGAUGGACUCAGUCUGGCACUUGUGACUCUGGAGAAAAACAGCUGAGGUCAAAUCUUAAUGCUACUGAAUCUGAGGUGUGAUUUGUUUCAGUUCACUGAUAGCAUUUCUCCUAUUUUUUUCUUGGUGUA